GCCGGGAUGGCGGAAUGGUAGACGCGACGGACUCAAAAUCCGUUGGGCGCAAGCUCGUGGGGGUUCGAGUCCCCCUCCCGGUA
rnacentral:tRNA from 1 species